AAUGAAGAACGUAGCGAAAUGCGAUAAUUAAUGUGAAUUGCAGAAUUCAGUGAAUCAUCGAGUCUUUGAACGCACAUUGCGCCCCCUGGUAUUCCGGGGGGCAUGCCUGUCCGAGCGUCAUUGCUGCCCUCAAGCACGGCUUGUGUGUUGGGCUUCCGUCCCUGGCAACGGGGACGGGCCCAAAAGGCAGUGGCGGCACCAUGUCUGGUCCUCGAGCGUAUGGGGCUUUGUCACCCGCUCCCGUAGGUCCAGCUGGCAGCUAGCCUCGCAACCAAUCUUUUUAACCAGGUUGACCUCGGAUCAGGUAGGGAUACCCGCUGAACUUAAGCAUAUCAAUAAGCGGAGGA
rnacentral:misc_RNA from 1 species